UAUCAAAUGGACAAUGUUGCCCUUAUCAAAAAUCCCUAAUCUAAACUCUCUCUUGUGAUCUCUCUUGUGUCUCUCACAAUCUCCAAAUCCAUCCCUGGUGAUUGAAGCUUGUAUCCUUCUUUGGUGAUUAACGCCCGUUCUACCUAGCAAAAACAAGAUUAUUGCUUCGAUUCUUCCAAGCUUCUCUCACUUAUCGGCUAAUCUAAACUGUCCCUCUCUCUCAUGAUCUCUAUGGCGAUUCUCCCUCUAUAGUUCAUGAUCCAUGGCAAUUGAAGCUCAUCUCACUCUCUAGUGAUCGACGCUUGUUCUACCUCAUAAAUAGAUUUGACUAGGUAUGGAUGCAAGAUAUAAAAAAAUGUGUUUGGUCACUGGAAGAAGAUGAAAAACUUGUGGAUGCAGUGCUUAUGUUGAAAGAAAAGAGAACUCACAAUAAUAAUGAGAAAGGUGAAUCUAUAAAAGGACAUCAAAUAGAGUUGACAAACAUGUUGAGAAUGAUGUUGCCCGGUCAUAACAUCUUAGAGAAGCAUGUUGACUCGCGUAUUAGAACAUUAAAAAAAUUAUGAGAUUAUCUAUGAUUUGUGAACAAAUCGAGGAAGUGGAUUCGGUUGGGAUGAUGAGAAGAAAUCACUUGUAUCUUCUACAGAUGUAUGAGAUGAUUUUGUAAAGAGUCAUCUUGAUGCAAAAAGAGGAAAAUCAUUCAAUCACUAUGAUGUGUUGAUGUUGAUUUUUGGAAAAG